rnacentral:rRNA from 1 species
UACGUAGGGUGCGAGCGUUGUCCGGAAUUAUUGGGCGUAAAGAGCUCGUAGGCGGCUUGUCGCGUCGACUGUGAAAACCCGCGGCUUAACUGCGGGACUGCAGUCGAUACGGGCAGGCUAGAGUUCGGUAGGGGAGACUGGAAUUCCUGGUGUAGCGGUGGAAUGCGCAGAUAUCAGGAGGAACACCGGUGGCGAAGGCGGGUCUCUGGGCAGUAACUGACGCUGAGGAGCGAAAGCGUGGGGAGCGAACAGG